GAUGAACGCUGGCGGCGUGCCUAAUACAUGCAAGUCGAGCGAACAGACGAGGAGCUUGCUCCUCUGACGUUAGCGGCGGACGGGUGAGUAACACGUAGAUAACCUACCUAUAAGACUGAGAUAACUUCGGGAAACCGGAGCUAAUACCGGAUAAUAUAUUGAACCGCAUGGUUCAAUAGAGAAAGACGGUUUUGCUGUCACUUAUUGAUGGAUCCGCGCCGCAUUAGCUAGUUGGUAAGGUAACGGCCUACCAAGGCAACGAUGCGUAGCCGACCUGAGAGGGUGAUCGGCCACACUGGAACUGAGACACGGUCCAGACUCCUACGGGAGGCAGCAGUAGGGAAUCUUCCGCAAUGGGCGAAAGCCUGACGGAGCAACGCCGCGUGAGUGAUGAAGGUCUUCGGAUCGUAAAACUCUGUUAUUAGGGAAGAACAAAUGUGUAAGUAACUAUGCACGUCUUGACGGUACCUAAUCAGAAAGCCACGGCUAACUACGUG
rnacentral:rRNA from 1 species